AAGGAUUUAAGUUAAAUAAACUAAGAGCCUUCAAAGUUCUAAAUAAAGAUGUCUCUUCUUUAAGCCUUA
rnacentral:tRNA from 1 species